rnacentral:rRNA from 1 species
CAGCCGCCGCGGGAAUACGUAGGUGGCAAGCGUUGUCCGGAAUUAUUGGGCGUAAAGGGCUCGCAGGCGGUUUCUUAAGUCUGAUGUGAAAGCCCCCGGCUCAACCGGGGAGGGUCAUUGGAAACUGGGAAACUUGAGUGCAGAAGAGGAGAGUGGAAUUCCACGUGUAGCGGUGAAAUGCGUAGAGAUGUGGAGGAACACCAGUGGCGAAGGCGACUCUCUGGUCUGUAACUGACGCUGAGGAGCGAAAGCGUGGGGAGCGAACAGGAUUAGAUACCCCGGUAGUCCCUGUCUCUUAUAU